GACGAACGCUGGCGGCGUGCCUAAUACAUGCAAGUAGAACGCACAGUUUAUACCGUAGCUUGCUACACCAUAGACUGUGAGUUGCGAACGGGUGAGUAACGCGUAGGUAACCUGCCUGGUAGCGGGGGAUAACUAUUGGAAACGAUAGCUAAUACCGCAUAAUAUUAAUUAUUGCAUGAUAAUUAAUUGAAAGGUGCAAUUGCACCACUACCAGAUGGACCUGCGUUGUAUUAGCUAGUAGGUGAGGUAACGGCUCACCUAGGCGACGAUACAUAGCCGAACUGAGAGGGUGAUCGGCCACACUGGGACUGAGACACGGCCCAGACUCCUACGGGAGGCAGCAGUAGGGAAUCUUCGGCAAUGGGCGAAAGUCUGACCGAGCAACGCCGCGUGAGUGAAGAAGGUUUUCGGAUCGUAAAGCUCUGUUGUAAGAGAAGAACGGGUGUGAGAGUGGAAAGUUCACACUGUGACGGUAUCUGACCAGAAAGGGACGGCUAACUACGUG
rnacentral:rRNA from 1 species